rnacentral:rRNA from 1 species
AUUGAACGCUGGCGGCAGGCCUAACACAUGCAAGUCGAACGCACCGCAAGGUGAGUGGCGCACGGGUGAGUAACACGUGGGAAUGUACCCUUUGGUUCGGAAUAACGUCUGGAAACGGACGCUAAUACCGGAUGAGCCCUGCGGGGGAAAGAUUUAUCGCCAAAGGAGCAGCCCGCGUCUGAUUAGCUAGUUGGUGGGGUAAAGGCCUACCAAGGCGACGAUCAGUAGCUGGUCUGAGAGGAGGAUCAGCCACACUGGGACUGAGACACGGCCCAGACUCCUGCGGGAGGCAGCAGUGGGGAAUAUUGGACAAUGGGCGAAAGCCUGAUCCAGCCAUGCCGCGUGAGUGAUGAAGGCCUUCGGGUUGUAAAGCUCUUUCGCACGCGACGAUGAUGACGGUAGCGUGAGAAGAAGCCCCGGCUAACUUCGUGCCAGCAGCCGCGGUAACAC